UACGUAGGGCCUAGCGUUGUCCGGAUUUAUUGGGCGUAAAGAGCUCGUAGGCGGUUCGUCGCGUCGGCUGUGAAAUCCCGAGGCUCAACCUCGGGUCUGCAGUCGAUACGGGCGGACUGGAGUUCGGGCAGGGGAGACGUGGAAUUCCGUGGUGUAGCGGUGAAAUGCGCAGAUAAUCAGGAGGAACACCGAUGGCGAAGGCAGG
rnacentral:rRNA from 1 species